rnacentral:rRNA from 1 species
GAUGAACGCUGGCGGCGUGCCUAAUACAUGCAAGUCGAGCGAACAGAUAAGGAGCUUGCUCCUUUGACGUUAGCGGCGGACGGGUGAGUAACACGUGGGUAACCUACCUAUAAGACUGGGAUAACUUCGGGAAACCGGAGCUAAUACCGGAUAACAUUUGGAACCGCAUGGUUCUAAAGUGAAAGAUGGUUUUGCUAUCACUUAUAGAUGGACCCGCGCCGUAUUAGCUAGUUGGUAAGGUAACGGCUUACCAGGGCGACGAUACGUAGCCGACCUGAGAGGGUGAUCGGCCACACUGGAACUGAGACACGGUCCAGACUCCUACGGGAGGCAGCAGUAGGGAAUCUUCCGCAAUGGGCGAAAGCCUGACGGAGCAACGCCGCGUGAGUGAUGAAGGGUUUCGGCUCGUAAAACUCUGUUAUUAGGGAAGAACAAAUGUGUAAGUAACUGUGCACGUCUUGACGGUACCUAAUCAGAAAGCCACGGCUAACUACGUG